UCUAUGGACCUUUUGACCAUC
rnacentral:siRNA from 1 species